UGCGGAGGAUCAUUGUCGGUUCUUCGCAAUUGUCGGUUUUUGUAAUCCCGCCCCAGCGCGGCUCGAGGUCAAACUCGAUAACCUUCGGUCCGACCACGCCGGUGGGACUUCUCCAUGGGCCGCAGAGUGGGCUUCACGUCCUUCUGCGGCGAAAGUGGAGCGUCCCCGAAAUGAGGUUGUCACCAAUGCCAUUAGUCUCAGAAUGUAAUAGCAGGCAGCGAUGCCAAUGCAACCAAUUACAACUUUCAGCAACGGAUCUCUUGGCUCUCGCAUCGAUGAAGAACGCAGCGAAUUGCGAUAUGUUAGUGUGAAACGCAGAACAGUGAAUCAUCGAGACUUUGAACGCACCUUGCGCCCUCCGGUCUUCCGGAGAGCAUGCCUGUCUGAGUGUCGCUAAAACCCCCAUAGGCCGAAAGGUCUGAUUCGGAUGUGUGCCGUGUUUGGCUCCGUCUAAGAUGCAGUUGGAACGUGGCCGAGGUUGCCUCUUCCGAGACAGUUGAGCGUGAUUACCUUCAUGCGUCUCAAAGGGAGGGUGUAGACUCUCGUGCUCCCCAUUGCGGAGUGCCUUCGCGGCGCCGCGGUGUGGUCUUCUAGUGACGUGGCCUCAGAUCAGGUAGGACUACCCGCUGAACUUAA
rnacentral:rRNA from 1 species